rnacentral:rRNA from 1 species
UACGUAGGUGGCAAGCGUUGUCCGGAUUUACUGGGCGUAAAGAGCGCGCAGGCGGUUGGAUAAGUCGAAUGUGAAAGCCCCCGGCUCAACUGGGGAGGGUCACGCGAUACUGAUCGACUCGAAGGCAGGAGAGGGUAGUGGAAUUCCCGGUGUAGUGGUGAAAUGCGUAGAUAUCGGGAGGAACACCAGUGGCGAAGGCGGCAUCCUGGACCGGCAUUGACGCUGAGGAGCGAAAGCCAGGGGAGCAAACGGG